AAAUUAGAUUUUUGUUCAUGAAAUUUUUUUCAAAUAUAAUAAUCUGAAAAAUGCAAGUAGAAAUUUGGACAAAAUAUGCAUUUAAAUGUCUUACGUCUUUAAAGUUGUAGAACUUCCGCGAUACACUAAUAAUCGAGGAUUAUGCUGUGGCCAGUGGGGGAUUAUGUCAUAUCCAUAUAGGCGCGUGUUUUGUUAUCACAACCAGUAAACGAGGUCAUUCUGUUGCGUACUUUGGUCAAAGAAAGAGAAAGAUGGAGUCCCCUAGAAAUGAAAAUAAGCUGAAUGGAAUUUCGUUUUCAAGGAAGAAGAGUCCGAAGCUUACUUAUGCCGGAGAGUUCUGAUGAAUCACCAAAGAAAAGAAAAACUCAAAGUUCUAAUAGUGGCCUGGGUGCAGUGUAUUCGAAUUAUCAACAGUGCUCCUCAAAUAAAGAAAAUAAAAGAAAAAGAUUUUACUUUCUAUGAGUACCCACAGCAUCUUCAAGCAGAACAAUGGAUAUUGAUCAGACCAGACAGUCUGGAGAAUUUACCAUGGAUAGAAGUAACAAAAGUGACAGCAACACAUUCGAUUGGUUUAAUGGAUAUUUUGGACAGGAGUAGCAGACUGGUACAUUGAUUCCAAAAUCUUGAACAAACAACAACUGUACACAUUCUUGUCGCUUUUAAGUGGGAUAAUGUUAAUCUUUACAAAAUGCCAGCACAAUUGAAAUUAAUAUGGGAUAGUUGAAAGAAGAAAUUUCAAAAUGAUACAUAUCACAAUGUUGAAUUUAGACAAUCUCUAUUUUUGUGAAACAGUUUUUUUUUAACUUUAAAUACUGUGAUGAUCUACAAAACAUUAUUAAAAGAUGAACAUGUAAGUCUCAAGUGCGAUCCAGUUUUUAACCGCUUUUCGCUUGAAAAAAAAUCAAGCUUUUUUAAAUUUAUGAAGUGACAACAAUUGUUUUUACUGGAUUUACAUUGAAUAAAUAAUAUUAUCCAGACAUUAAAUAAAAAUGUUGAAAUUGAUUUCACUUCAUUUUAUUUUCAUUUUUUCGCAAUGUUUUUAUCAAUUUUUUUAAACCUUUCUAAGUGAGAAAGUCAGACUUCUUGAUGCUUCUAGUUGUUACACACUACAUUUAAAACAUUGUCACAUUUCAUAUGGUAUAUUCUGGCUUUCAUUGUAUUUUGUGUUUUUUGUAUUUUGGUGAAAUUGCAAAUUGUGUUCUUACCAAUGAAACUUAACAGUUAAUUGUGCUUGAUUUUUUUUUCUUAAACAAUGAAAAACCCUUUUAAUUAAAAAUUAAUAUGUAAUAAGGUGAAGUUCAUCCAAAGGUUGCUUUUAUUCAUUUUAAUAAAAUUAUAAAUAAUUAAAAAAAAAUUUGGAAAGUUUGGAACUAUUUGAUUUGAUUACCAUUGAGACAGCUUUCCACGAAAGUUCAAAUGAUGUAACCGUAGGCAUACGACCUUCAACGACAUGAGAAAAAUCCAUACUGUAUGGUCAUCUAUAAAAGACCCCGACAUUAAACACCAAUUCAACUGAGAAGAAUAACGGUCUAAUUUAUUACAAUUUACGAAAAAAAAUAUGACAGACAUGAACCAACAACAACCACUGAACAACGGGCUCCUGACUUGGGACAGUCACAUAACGGAGGUGGCAGGGUGAAACAUGUUUGUGAUCGCUCAACCCUCUCCUAGCUGGGACAGUGUGUGUAACAGCACACCAUAAGAAUAAGCAUUUAUUUAGUACAGUAUCAUUUUAAAACAACAGCUUUCAAAAAUUCACUUAAUUUUGAUGGCAAGUAUUAGUAACCAAUCAAUAUAUACAGAGAUAUGAAUCACCUGUGUGCAAUUUUGAUAGAUAUAUAUUAUGCAAAUGUUGAAAUUUAAAUUACAAUACUUAAAUGACUACUUACCCAUUUUUCAUCAGUAUUCUGAUAUAUUAAAGUAUAGAAAUUGACCCUAUGUAAAAGUUUCAAAGUCAACGAAUCAUGACUGGGGGAGGGAAAAUAAUCAUUAUGGAGAUGAGAUGUGCAAAAUCUAGUACAACUGCACAUCUAAUGUAAUAACCGUUAAUGUUCAGCCUUAAACUGACCAAAUCACAAACAUAAACCUGUAAACUAACUAUAUGCAUUUUCGAAAUCAAUAGACAGUGAUUGGGGAGGGAUAAUCGCCAUGGAAAUAAUUUCCAGUGUCUUUUUAUAAAUGGUUACUAGUGACAUCCCUAAAUUAUUCCCCUUCUGACUGAACUAAACAGCAAUACACAUUGCUAUGAGUUGAUGCUCUAGUGAAUAUAAAUGUGUAAACCUAAUUUUGUGACUGAAUUCAGUCAUUAUAUUUUUUUUACUGCUGCAGAAUUGGUCUUUUCAACAAAUAUUUCCUGAAUUUGUAUUGACUGAAUUCAGUCAUCUGUAUUAUAGAUGUGUAUACUAUGUAAUCACACUUGGUGUAAUUUAAGUCUUAGAAAACACUCUAAUUUAGUACAAUUUCUUGUAGCUUCUAUCAAAUGCUGUGUGACUGAAUUCAGUCAACAUUUUGUGAAAAUAAUGAACAGGAUAAAGAGUUAAUUUCAUUUAGCUGUUAUCCUGUUAUAUGUUGCUUGUAUUAAUCUAUAAUCCGAAUUCUGUUUCAUCUGAAUUAACAGUAAUAGGUUUUAGUUAAGAAGCAACAAGUACAAAUGUAUUUGAUAGAUAUUUUACGAAUAAAAUGGUAAUGUUACUUUC